AACGCACAUUGCGCCCCUUGGUAUUCCGGGGGGCAUGCCUGUUCGAGCGUCAUUUCAACCCUCAAGCUUAGCUUGGUAUUGGGCAUCGUCGGUAACACGACGGGCCUUAAAAUCAGUGGCGGCGCCGUUGGGUCCUGAACGUAGUAAUAUAUUUCGUUACAGGUACCUCGCGUGCUUCUGCCAUUAAACCCCCAAUUUUUUAUGGUUGACCUCGGAUCAGGUAGGGAUACCCGCUGAACUUAA
rnacentral:misc_RNA from 1 species